rnacentral:rRNA from 1 species
AACGAGAAGAACCUUACNUGGCCUUGACAUGCACGGAAUUUUCNCAGAGAUGGAUUGGUGCCUUCGGGAACCGUGACACAGUGCUGCAUGGCUGUCGUCAGCUCGUGUCGUGAGAUGUUGGGUUAAGUCCCGCAACGAGCGCAACCCUUGUCCUUAGUUGCCAGCACGUAAUGGUGGGAACUCUAAGGAGACCGCCGGCGACAAGCCGGAGGAAGGUGGGGAUGACGUCAAGUCAUCAUGGCGCUUACGGCCAGGGCUACACACGUAUACAAUGGUGGGGACAGAGGGCUGCGAUACCGCGAGGUGGAGCCAAUCCCAGAAACUUCAUCCCAGUCCGGAUUGGAGUCUGCAACUCGANUCCAUGAAGUCGUGUUUCGCUAGUAAUCGUAGAUCAGCAU